UACGAGGGGUCCUAGCGUUGUUCGGAAUCAUUGGGCGUAAAGAGUAUGUAGGCGGCUAGAUAAGUCAGGUGUGAAAUCCCCGGGCUCAACCCGGGAAGUGCAUUUGAUACUGUCUAGCUUGAGUAUGGAAGAGGGUAGUGGAAUUCCUGGUGUAGUGGUGAAAUACGUAGAUAUCAGGAGGAAUACCGGUGGCGAAGGCGGCUACCUGGUCCUAUACUGACGCUGAGAUACGAAAGCAUGGGUAGCAAACAGG
rnacentral:rRNA from 1 species